GUUGCAUUUCAUUCCAUAGUUAUAGGGAUUUCAGGUGGCUCUCCACUUCCCUGUAACUGCUAAGGAACUGACUCCUGUGCCUUACUUUUAAGAAGAAAAUGUACAACUGCAAAGCACUGUGGUUGUCAAUGAGGCUGAACACAGAGACCCGGUGCAACAACUGUGCCUUCUUGAUUUCCAUGGAGCAACUCAAGAGUUUUCAAAACUCUAGAAUUCUGACCACCUAAGUUCCAUAAGAAAAUGAUGAGCUCUGAGCCAGCAUAAUUGGAUAGUAUUUGGACUUUCUGGAAGACUACAAGACUCUAGUGCAGACAAACAAACAUUCAGGCAAUAAAAUACCAUCACUUCUUUUGUUCAUAAGAAGCCUUUUAUGUGGAAAAUAAAAAAUUAGCAUUAUCUUCUAAUACCUAUAGGAGGAUUUCAGCUGGCCCAAGUGAACAGAAUAAGCACUGCAUCACUGGUGUAUGCUAAGCACGGAGCACAUAGACUUGAAAAAGCACUGAAAUGAAGCAGUGCUCAAAAUAAUGUGAAUGCUUCUUAUAAAGUUGGAGACUUGAUUUAUUAGAAAUGGUUCAAACAUUUUUCCUAAUUAUUGUGAGCAAAGUGCCUAACAAAACUAGAAAAAUGUCUCCAGUUUGGACUCCACUGAGACUAAUACUCAUCCUUCACACUUCAAAGGGCAAAGUUGGGUAGGAGAGAAGACAGAGCAUUGGUUUUAGUCUUAGUCAGAACACUAAAAAGGGCCAUUUAAUGUUAGUAUGUGAGCCAUAGCUAUGUUUUUCAAAUAAAAUUGAAAAUAAAUCUUGAAGUUGAGUUGAAAAAUCUUGCUAUUACCUCAUAACCAUAUUUCUCUUCACAUCUUAAGAGUCAGAGAGAUUCAGAAAUAUAUGCAACACUUUCCCUAGUACUUCAAGGAAGUUGUGCUUCCAUUUUUGAUAGAUAAAACAAGGCAUAGAGUCAAGAUUCAUCUCUGGAAAUGAAUCUAAAUCAGGGUUAGGAAUUUGAUGGUGGGCAUCAUAUUGCCCACCUUUAGAUUUCGAAAAGAGAGAUGCCUGAAGGUGACACACUGAUCUGUAGAUUUAGUUCAUAGAUAACAAUCUUGGCCUAUGUCUGACAAAUUUCAGAUCUCUCUUUUUAGCUUUUUUUUUUUUUUUUCCUGCUGUGUUAGACAACUUACCCAUUCAAUGUAAUAUCUGUGCCAAUGGCCAUUCUGGGCUGCCUUAUUCUGUAUUUAUAUGUCAGGUUAUACACUGUAUUCUAGAAGCAAAUGCAACAUCAAAGUCUCUUUGGAGAUAUGUCUCAGAAUGAUUUGCCAACAGGCAUGAACCUAGCUAUUGUUAGCACCUAAAUUAGGAUUCUAGGAGAUCUGGCUUCCAGUUCAAACCACAAAAACGUGAGAGAUCUCUAGUGAGAGAUAUCUAAUGCUCAGAAAGCUAUAGAACCCUACACCUAAUUUAUAUAUACAGUCACUGUUAAGCCAUAUAUAAAAAUCAGCUAAACAUUACCUUAGCAACUCCAUGCUGAACAUGGUCCUGGUAUCAAAGCACACACAAGAAAAGAUAGUACCUUCUUUCCCACUGUUCAUGAUUUGAUUUCCACAUAAAACCUACCGGGUAUGACAGAAACCAAACUUCAUGAAGUUAACCCUUUAUACAUUUUUUCUUGGUUGUUUAUCUCAACUAUUUAACAAUGUGACCAAUCCUGACAACUUUAUAUUAGUGUAUUAAAAGCUGCUCACUUCCCAAUUUCAUUUGGCCUAGGUUGAAGUCAAGACUUCAAAAGUACAUUUCUUUCCAAAUGCACAAAUAAUCUUGGGUCAAAUGAAAAGCAACGUUGAUAAACCUCUUUUGCUACUGCAGCAGACCAAUGAAAAACAAUAUCUGUGGUAUAGCUGGAAUUCUCUCAAAUACCUGUAAGAUAAGACCACUGUCAUUACAACAGGCUGAAGGUUUAAGAAGUGGUCAAAGAAGGGAGUCCUGUAGAGAUGGGAUGGUGUUGAUCUGUCCAAAACUCCCCAUAUUGCUGCAGAAGUUUUGACUACAAACUUGUUUAUUGCAAACUUGUUGACAAACAGACUUGCGUCUAGCAGGCAUAAAAGUAUGCUCUAGUGAAGCUUGGUAGGGGCUCUGAGACUUUGAAACUUUGGGGUCAGCGCUCUCACAGACCAAGUAUCCCCAUUGACUGGACCAAUGCUGGAAACCAAACCAGUGAUCUCAUUCUUGGUCUGUCUCUCAAUCUCUCAUUCUUUCUUUUUCCCUCAUAAAGUUUUUAAGAGUCACAUAGUUUAGCUGCACAGCUUAGGUAGAUAUAACUGUAAGAGUGCCAAUACUUUUAAGAUAAUUGUAGUACAGAAAUUUCUCAUUAAAAUUGAUGAUUAUAUUUGGACUUUGAGCAUCAGUUUCACCUUAAUCUAACCAGGGGAGAUUUACAAAUUUGGUCACCUCUCCCUCCCUUCACGAGCAGAAUGUGACAGCUUUUGAAAUUAGAGAGCACUUACUCUAAAGCAUGUCUUCUGACUUAGCCUUCUGUGACAUGAACUGUAUGGUAAACAUUUUAAUUUGGGACUUUGAUAGAAGGAAUGACACGAAAGUGUAAAACUGUUUUUGUCAUCCUGCCAGUGGUGUAUGAAGAAAAUACUUUGUCUGAAAGCAAACAAGGAAGGAUUUGGAAGUGCAAGUAACAAGGCUGGAGAUGUGUUACAGGUCAAGCUAGUAGGUCAUUGACAGAACUUGACAUUUCUCUUCUAUUCCUUAUCUCGAUGAAAAAACCCAAAGUUUAAUAGAUCAUUACACAAAGAAAGCACUAUUGCCAAUACUAGUAUUGAUACUAAAAAUCUUGUUUUGACAUCUAGAGUGGUCUUGCUAUCAACACGAUUAAUCACCAACAGCUAGUCAACUUGGCAACAUUAGCAGUAAUUUAACAAAGUUUACCAACUUAUCUUUUAACUUGCCUGCAUGGCCAGUGCAACUCAUUAACAAAAAUAUUAAAAAUGUUUUGAUGAUAUGUUUUCAUGUCGUAUUUUUCUUUUUCUUUUUCCUUGACUAGUUAAGAGCAAAUAUAACCGUCAAUAGAUAUGCAUUUGUGAGAAAGCUGCAGGAAGUCAGGUAGAAAAUGACUAACAAGGAAGACUUAUGACACCAGUAACAUCAAAAUGUAUAAUAAAUUUCAGAACUAUUUGAUCAAGCUUUGCAUUCAUACAUGUAUGUGUACAUACUUCUACCAGCCACACUUAUGGCUGUAACUUAUCAUUAUGUUUAAGUGUUAAAAUACUGUGGAAAAUUCCUUUGGGCAGUAAAAUUUUGAACUUUUUGCUGUACUGAUGUUGCUGCAGAAGUCAUUUUAAGUUUUGGGAACUAUGUACACCAAACGUAGGUGUACACACAGUGUAGGUCUGAAGACAAUCUUGAAAGUGAUUAGGGUACUCCUGAUUCUGAAAAAACUAAGAUAACUUCAUUGAAGAACAUCUGGCAAUCUAAUACAUUUUUGUUACUGAACAAGCAGUAGAUAGGUUUCAAUUUUUACAGAUGUGUAAUUAUCCAAAAUUCUUUGGUGAAAGCCUAUAGCUUGCUUGUGAAUUAGUACAUUGGACUUUUUUAAAGUGAUGAGCCUUUUAUUAUUCAUUCUGUGUUGUAACUGAAGAUGGCAACAUUUUAUAAUCACAGAACCAUAGAAUGGCUUGGUUUGGAAGGGACAUUAAAGACCUUCUAGUUCCAACCCCCUGCCUUGGGCAGGGUUGUCAGCCACUAGAUCUGGCUGCACAAGGACCCAUGAAGCUUGGCCAUGAAUGCCUCCAGGGAUGGGGCAAACACAGCUUCUCUGGGCAGCCUAUAUCAAUGCCUUACCACCCUCUGAGUGAAGAAUUUCUUCUUAACAUCUAAACUUAAAAAUAAAUUUCCAAUUCUGAUUUGCUAGUCUUUACCACUCCCCAAACAAUGAAAAUGUAUUUCUGCUGACAUAGCAUGGAUUUGUAUCUAUUUAGCUAAGCAAUAUCGCUUUGGGUUCAAGUAGUAGGUCCUUGCUUUGGCAUUUUAAAACUCUGUUCUGUCCUACAUUAGAAUAACUCAAGUUCUGUGUCAAUAAAUUCAAAUGUCAUCAAAACUAGAUAUACUUAAACAUUUCAGUGAACAAAUGUCUUCUCUCCACACUCCUACCCUCUUCACCUUUCCUACAAUUAUGAUUUUAAGCAGAAAUUUGUUAGCAUGUUAAUUCUUAGAAAGUUAAUGAAAGGCUUACAUGCACAGAGGGAUUUUACUGUUUUUAUUCAUAGAGCACCCUCUGCCUCAGUUCAGUUAUGAUUUAUCUUGUUCAGUAUUAAGACAUAUUAGCUGCGUAAUACUACAAACACCACUCCUGUUUUAGGAAACAACUGAUAACUUCAUACAGUAGAAUUCUCAGUCCUCCCUAACUAAAUUUAUCUGUGAGCACAUGCAAGUACAAGCCCAUAGCGCACCUACAGAUUCACGCACGUUAAAUAUCUGGAUAAUUCAAAACGUAAUCUACAUUUCCAGUAUUUGUUCAGAAUAUUAUUUUAUUCGCACAACAAAGGCAUCAAUAGCCAGUUCAGCUCUAAGCCAGAUAAUAAAUGUACAAAAUAUCUACAAUAUUUUCAUACUUUCACAUAAAGAUUUUCUUUACUUCAUGGUACAUUUGCUGUAGCACAUGGAUUAAGAUGGGAACUAAAUAAUUUCAUUGACCAUAUCACAUUUUGCAAACCCUGAGCUGAUGGUGUUUAGAACUCUCAUUUAAAAAAAAUAAAUUAAACAUCCUGCUUAAGCACAGAUUUGUAUCAUUCUAAAUGUUGUGUUUGGAAACUAGCAGAAAAAAUAUUUGAGAUUUAAGUUUCUGUUGAAGGAAAAGGUCUUCCAAGUACAUAGCAAGUUUCUGGCUAGUUUCUGGGUUGGGCUUAUCAUAAACUUCCCCCUGUGGCAAAGUCAUCCAGUUCUGGACAUUUUUUUCUUUAUUUUCCCCAGAUUUUUUUUCUUUUCUUUUUUAAAAACACAGAUUUGUCCAAAGCAAUAAUUAGCACACAGUUCUUUAGUACUAAACGCAUGAAAAUUCAAGCAUAUUUUUAUCAAAUAUACACAUCUGGCAAUGCUGUAUGUUAUUUAUGGUCUUUUUUGAUAAAAGCAUAAUUGAUUCAAAUGGGUGAUUCAAAAAUGUAAUUUACAGUCUAGCAUCUUGAUUCUAAAGUUUUAUUUUAAUAACAGCCACCAAGACAGUAAUCAAAUUAUUGGUGAGGCAAAGCUCACAAUUCCACAGAAUUUUUAUGUCUUCAUGCAUUAGAGUGAAGUUCUUGCUUAUCCCUGUCCUUUAUCUGUGUAAAGGGGGAUAUUUACUCCAACUGUGCAUUUUCCAUUCAUUGCAUGAUUCACUGAAUCACAAAAGAAAUACAAAGUUGAUCAACAAGCAAGCAUAAUUAUAAACUAUUAAGUUACUUUCCUCCAUUUUUAUUGCAGCCUCCUUUUAAGCCUGCUUCUGAAUCUGAAGAACAAAUUUCUGCUCUGCAUGGUGUUUUCUUCCCUUCUUUUAAGUCCCUUAAUAUGCCAGACCUCUCUUUUUCAGUCAUAUAAUUACAAUGAUUAGACUUUUUUUCUUUCCAUUCUGACUCUCGGGAACACAGAACUGUAUGUAACCUUUCAGUAUUGCUUUUAGGAAAACAAAGGCAGUUAAUACAUUUGUAAGGAAAAUUACAAAUGAAAGAACUCUGUGUACUUUAGGCAUCAGUUCAAGUUUUCUUUCUAAUAGUGUUCAGAAUGAUACUUAGGUGACACAUUUGGAAUCACAUAUUGCAGAAAAUAUAGUGGACAUCUGAAAAGAUCAGUUUUGUUAUUAAGGUAUGUUGCCAUGGAUUGUUUACAAAUAUCCAGAUGUUCUUGAGUUUACCAUGAGCUUGAUUUGAAAGCCCAAGGCCACAUGUGUACUUUGUUCCUGUUUCUCUCUGUUCUCUAUAAUACGUACUCUAAAAACAGGCUGUAAUUUAGCAAAAAACAACAACAACAACAAAAACCCCUAACCAACGACAACAACAAAACACCAUGAAAUUAAGAACUAUACAGGUAAAGAAAAUGUAUAUUUGAUCUUGCCAGAUAUAAAAGUCGUCCAUGUUUAUUGUUUUCUUUAUACAUUCUCAGAAAGAGAUUACAUAAACGCUGGACAAGAACAAAAAUGAUGCUGCAUACAGGUUUAAGUCUAGUUCAUGCUAUACCUAAGCACAUUUAUGCACAGUGGUCUAGCCAAAAAUAAACAAAAACAGAACCAAGACAGUUGGAACAAAGUUGAAUAAUACAGCAAGUUCAUGACCUACUUUAAGAAAAAAUUGCCUACUACUUUCACAGAUGUUCACUGCUGUGAACUGGGCACGCUAUUCCAGCAUAUGAUUUCUAUUUCCUUCUAAUCUAAAUUAUAAUUUUAAAAAUUAAAAAAAUGAAAGAAAUCCAUUAAUUUCUGAACAAGUUCGUCUCCAAUUUGAAGUAAUGAGUUGUAAAACUGAUGCAAAAAUAAAAAGCAUUUCCAUUUCAAAAUGGAAAAUCAUACUCUUUCACUCUACAAACAAUGAAAUAGAAUACCCCCGCCACCUCGUUGGAAAGUGAUACUGGCAGCUGUGUCUCUUGUAGUGAAUGAAAGUAAGAAAUGAUCUUCAUAUUUACAUUUUACAUUGACUCCAGUAAAAUAUUUUAAAAUCAGAAAAUAGUAUAGAGUGGACAAGGAUUUUCCACUGAUCCUUUCCCACAGUAAGCUUGUCCAGUAGUAGACGUCAUUAAGAUGCAUUUCAUUUCACUGCAGUUGGCAAUAAAGUAACAUUUACACAGAAAUUAGUUCUAAAAUAUGAUACUUAAUAAGUAACAGCUUAGUGGUUUCUAAGUUCUUCUGGAUUGUGAAAUAUUAUUGGUCCAGUCAGUGGACGUUUGUCCCAUUAAAAUACAUUUUAUGUGUAUAUUGAAAAUAAAGUUUCCUUACUCUUUCCUUCAUCAUUGUAUUCUUGAGAAAUUUUGUAUCCCAGUAGUUUUGCCUCAAAUUACUGCUUGAGCACAAAUCCCCAGGUUCUCUGUUUUCAGUCCCAGUUUAUUCUUGUUAUCUCCUUUACUAUUUCAGACAAUUUAAUCCUCUUUGCCAACAGCAGCAAGGAAUGUAAGGCUUCUAGAUGGCUCUAAAAUAAUAUUACUUUCAUCUUCUAUGCUUGUCUCCAUAUUCAAGACACUUUUAUUAAAUAACUCCCCAGCACAAGCUCUACAAUACAUCACAGAACAGAUGUUUUGAGUGUCAGUACAACAGUUAUUGGGGUAUUCUAUUUAUUUUAAUGGGACCCUGGAUCCCUGUAAAUGCAAGGAAUAUUCACAAAUUUACAUAAGAUUUUAUAAUGCAUUUCAAUGAGAAACCAGCAGAGAUUCAGCUCUUCCACACUCAUGUAAUAAAGAAAUGUUUAAGCCCAGAAUCUAGAGACACAACAGAAUGAUUCAGCCAUAUGAGAAGAGAUAAGAGACUUAACUUCUCAGGAGAGCCACACAAUUUGAUGUGGUUUUAAAACAAACUUUUACUAUUAAGAAUUCUUGUCAGAAAUCAUUUACCUCAUUCCCUUCAGAAAGGAAAGAUAAAAAUAGCUGACCAUUCCUAUUUUCCUGGAAUGGUCCCUAUGCUCUCAUUUUUGUAUGUUCUUUCCCUCCUUUAGCCUGAAAAUUGCAACCCAUACGUACUGAGUUAACAAGAUAAAGGGACUGAAUUUUAGCAGAAGAAAUAAGUGCAAUGGUUAAAAUACUCAAAGGCAUGAUGGUAGAAGAAAAUAUGACUCAGCAUGCAUUGUACACAGAGAUCCUAAGGUCUUUCUGAGACAAACUCCUAUAAAGCUGAGAGGGAAGUAAAUAUUUAAGAAUACAGUACUUUGCUCCAAAGAGAGGCUAAUGUGAAAAAUUCCUACCAUGUUUCAAACACACAGUACUGGUCCUAAAACACCAUUUCCUCUAAUACUAACUACUGUUGCCAUCGGUGCCUUCUGGUCUUGUACAUACUGUGGUAUGUACAAACAGUACUUCCUUCAUCUUUGCCUUCACUCAGUAGGAAAAAUCUAAACUUCAGACAUAUCAUGUCUACUUCAAAAGAAGUUAACUUACCAUUAAAGAUGCAGUCCUGCCUCGUUCAUCUUCUUGUUCCUUCUUCUCAAUCCUACCAAAUAAGCACUCAUGCAAACCUGGGCCAGAUUAAGGAGUUGAUUUUUCUGAAAAUAAAAAAAUAUCUUUUAUUUGAAUUAUGAUAUGGCUGCAUUAAUUAAUUUAUUCCAGCAGAAGAAAAGCCCCUGAGAAUGAGAGGAAUGAGGAAGGAAAUAGUUAGAUUUUUUCUUUCAGUUGUGGCAUGGAUUUAAGUCGGACUAAAGUGGCUGUAUAAACAUGGACUUGUACAGAAGGUGAAAAGAGGCCAUCAGAAUGGGUCUUGGGCCUUCAUAGGAUGGCUCUGACAAGAGGGCUCACUCAAAUAAUUGUUUUCAGUUACUCUUGGUAAAAAAAAA
ensembl:lncRNA